rnacentral:rRNA from 1 species
AACGAACGCUGGCGGCGUGCCUAACACAUGCAAGUCGAGCGGACCGCUUGGGGCAACUCGGGCGGUUAGCGGCGGACGGGUGAGUAACACGUGGGUAACCCACCUGGGGGACCGGGAUAACAUCCCGAAAGGGGUGCUAAUACCGGAUACGCUCUCCGGAGCCCAAGCUCUGGAGAGGAAAGGUUGCGCAAGCAGCCACUCCCGGACGGGCCCGCGGCCCAUUAGCUAGUUGGCGGGGUAACGGCCCACCAAGGCAAUGAUGGGUAGCCGGUCUGAGAGGAUGACCGGCCACACGGGGACUGAGACACGGCCCCGACUCCUACGGGAGGCAGCAGUGGGGAAUCUUCCGCAAUGGGCGAAAGCCUGACGGAGCAACGCCGCGUGGGGGACGAAGGCCUUCGGGUCGUAAACCCCUGUCAGAGGGAAAGAAGGGCGCCGGCGUGAUAAGCGCCGGCGUUUGACGGUACUCUCAGAGGAAGCCACGGCCAACUCCGUGCCAGCCGCCGCUGUAACAC